rnacentral:rRNA from 1 species
UACAGAGGGUGCAAGCGUUAAUCGGAAUUACUGGGCGUAAAGCGUGCGCAGGCGGUUCGUUGUGUCGGCGGUGAAAGCCCCGGGCUUAACCUGGGAAUGGCCGUUGAAACUGGCGAACUGGAGUGUGGCAGAGGGGGGUGGAAUUCCGCGUGUAGCAGUGAAAUGCGUAGAGAUGCGGAGGAACACCGAUGGCGAAGGCAGCCCCCUGGGCUAACACUGACGCUCAGGCACGAAAGCGUGGGGAGCAAACAGG